AUCACGAACUGUGGAGGAAGUCAUCAAUUCUGUCACUGGCACCAUGUCUCGUCACCGUUGCUGCCACCAAAGGAAGCCACUGUCACUAACGCAAGGAACAGAACUCGAAGAGGGAGGCAGUGGAGGGUGAUGCUGCUGUCGUCGUCGCUAUGGAGGUGAACCAACGUCGUAUCUUUGCUUCCUAGAACCACCGUUGCUGUUGCCAUCAUCCCCUAGCUUGGUUGUCAUCACUACUGGAAACUCUUAUUGCUGUUGUUGCCCGUUAGAGAGAGGAAUUGUUCUGUGAAGAGAGGGCUGCCGGGGUUGCUGCUGUUGGUUUUGAUUCUGUUACAUUGAUUCUGAGUUAUGUUUGCUUUUGAUUCUUAUCCAAUUCGAAUCCUUGUCUUGCUGCAACCAUCGUCACUGCCAUAAGAAAUUGACAUUGCUGCUAUUUUAGUUGCAUGCUUGCUACUGCCAUGAAAUUAAAAGAGAAGAGAGUUGCCACGUUUGAUCUAUGUGAAUUCAGCUAAUCGAGGAGUGCUAAAAUGGUGACAACAUGCUACCUAAAGGAUUCAAGAAUAUUUUGACUCAUAGAGACACUAAUCUAUGUUAGACUUUCAACUUUUGGUUGAACGAGUGUAAGAAAUAUAACUCGUAGAACUAAUAAAUGUAGACAC